rnacentral:rRNA from 1 species
UACGUAGGGUGCGAGCGUUGUCCGGAAUUAUUGGGCGUAAAGAGCUCGUAGGCGGCUUGUCGCGUCGUUCGUGAAAACCCACGGCUCAACUGUGGGCUUGCGGUCGAUACGGGCAUCACUAGAGUUCGGCAGGGGAGACUGGAAUUCCUGGUGUAGCGGUGAAAUGCGCAGAUAUCAGGAGGAACACCGGUGGCGAAGGCGGGUCUCUGGGCCGAUACUGACGCUGAGGAGCGAAAGCGUGGGGAGCGAACAGG